CGCCUAACACAUGCAAGUCGAACGAAGUAGUAAUACUUAGUGGCAGACGGGUGAGUAACAUGUAGGUAUCUGCCCUUUGGCCUGGAAUAACACGAGGAAACUUGUGCUAAUACCGGAUAAGUCUUUACGGAGAAAGCUUUAUGCACCAUUGGAUGAGCCUGCACUUGAUUAGUUAGUUGGUAGAGUAAUAGCCUACCAAGACUUUGAUCAAUAGCUGAUUUGAGAGGAUGAUCAGCCACAUUGGGACUGAGACACGGCCCAAACUCCUACGGGAGGCAGCAGUGGGGAAUCUUGCACAAUGGAGGAAACUCUGAUGCAGCGAUGCCGCGUGAGUGAAGAAGGCCCUUGGGUUGUAAAGCUCUUUCGUCGGGGAAGAAAAUGACUGUACCCGAAUAAGAAGGUCCGGCUAACUUCGUGCCAGCAGCCGCGGUAAUACGAAGGGACCUAGCGUAGUUCGGAAUUACUGGGCUUAAAGAGUUCGUAGGUGGUUGAAAAAGUUGGUGGUGAAAUCCCAGAGCUUAACUCUGGAACUGCCAUCAAAACUUUUCAGCUAGAGUUUGAUAGAGGAAAGCAGAAUUUCUAGUGUAGAGGUGAAAUUCGUAGAUAUUAGAAAGAAUACCAAUUGCGAAGGCAGCUUUCUGGAUCAUUACUGACACUGAGGAACGAAAGCAUGGGUAGCGAAGAGGAUUAGAUACCCUCGUAGUCCAUGCCGUAAACGAUGUGUGUUAGACGUUGGAAAUUUAUUUUCAGUGUCGCAGCGAAAGCGAUAAACACACCGCCUGGGGAGUACGACC
rnacentral:rRNA from 1 species